rnacentral:rRNA from 1 species
AUUGAACGCUGGCGGCAGGCCUAACACAUGCAAGUCGAGCGGAUGAGGGAAGCUUGCUUCCCGAUUUAGCGGCGGACGGGUGAGUAAUGCCUAGGAAUCUGCCUAUUAGUGGGGGAUAACGUUCCGAAAGGAACGCUAAUACAGCAUACGUCCUACGGGAGAAAGUGGGGGAUCUUCGGACCUCACGCUAAUAGAUGAGCCUAGGUCGGAUUAGCUAGUUGGUGAGGUAACGGCUCACCAAGGCGACGAUCCGUAGCUGGUCUGAGAGGAUGGUCAGCCAGCCUGGAACGGGGACACGGUCCAGACUCCUACGGGAGGCAGCAGUGGGGAAUAUUGGGCAAUGGGCGAAAGCCUGAUCCAGCCAUGCCGGGUGUGUGAAGGAGGUCUUCGGAUUGUAAAGCACUUUAAGUUGGGAGGAAGAGUUGUAAGCUAAUAUCUUGCAGCUUUGACGUUACCAACAGAAUAAGCACCGGCUAACUCUGUGCCAGCAGCCGCCGUAAAAC